UGUCAUAAUGGUGGGUGUGCUACAGGCACCUGGUUGGCAGAGGCCAGGGGUGCUGCCAAGCAUCCUGCCAUGUCCAGGAUGAUCCCCACAGCGGAGAAAGAUCCUGCCCCAAAUGUCAAAGGGGCUGCGGUUGAGAAAGCCCAGCCUAGCAGGAGGAGGAGGUUGUGACCAGAGUGACGGCGAUAGAGGGGGUGACGGGCCAGGUCCUGGGUGCCGGGUGCAUGGAGGGUGCACGGGGAGUCACUUGGCAUUCUGCUCUGAGUAUUUAAGAGUGACCCAUGAGAGCUGUAAACUCAGGUCCCAAGUGUGGGUGACCUCCAAUGCCCAGGCAAAGGUGGUGUGGGCUCCCCUGCCCAGCACACAGUGUCUGCAGGACUGCUCUGCGUGCAUCUUCAGCGGUGUCCUCAUGUGGUGGCAAGACACCUGGCAGCAGAGACCUUUGGCAGCCGACCCCCAGCAGUGGGUUAAGAAAGACUUUGGGGUCCUUGGAAGAUUUAACGUGAGAGAGGACUGGAGAAGGGGGCUCUGGGCUUCUUGCUAUUAGAGAAUCUGGACACCUGAAUGAUUAAGGAGCAAAGGGACACAGUCAUCUGAGGAUCAUACAUUGAUGGAGUGGCUUAUUCUGACCUCAUUAGGGGUUCCCAGGAGAGCCAGGGACAGGGGAGGAGCAUUGCUGGGUUCAGGAAAGGUGCCUGGCAUACGCCUGCCUCACUGCCUGGAACAGAAUCAGUGAUCACGCCUCUUCCUCUCCAGCCUCGGCGCUCUUCAGUCCUGAUCCUGGGAGAGCACUCCUCAGCUGGCAGGCUCCAAAAUACCCAGGAUGAAGGGAAGGCAGGGAUGGUGGGGAUCGCAUGGGAGGGUUCCCCAUCUCCCCCAGCUUCAAGACCCUCCCUCCUCUUCCUACUUAAAAGAUGCUUCCAGUGUGGGCUGGCCAGCUCCAUGACAGCACCAGGCACUGUCCCAGACACACUUGAAAACAAUCAAAGGUGGUGAACAACCAUUCAUCCCUGAGAAAAUAUGGCCAGUUAACUGGUACAUGGAAGAAUGGCCAGCCUUGCUGAUCAAAUUAGAAAAAAAAAAUGGAUAAAAUGAUAAAGCCCAGUGCUGCAAAGGAUGCAGGGAAAAGAACACAUCCCUUUGCUGUAAACAGAUCUGAUCUCAAAGAUGCUUCUGUCUGCAUGGAACAAGCCCCACGAAGCUACAUGAACCCCCGACCCCACACAUCGUCUUGAGGCGGGGUUCUGCAAGGAAAUAACCCUCAGCGGCAAAAGUGUUCACAGUGGGUUAUUAAAAAUGAGAGGUAGAAAAAAGAAAAAACCCAGACGUCCCUUGCUCACUGUUGUGGAGCAUGCACACUAUGUGAGGUGCCACGCUCACAUGAGCUCUUUCAUCCUUUCCACGGCUCUGUGAUUUGUGCUUUAUGAGUGUCUCAUUUUACAAUAAGCAGGGGACACGCAGAGGCCAGCCUUUCCUCCACCGCCACUCAGGGGCUCAGAGCUGAGGUCUAAACCCAGGCAGCCCUACCUGGAGCUUGGGUUCCCCUCCCUCCAAGCUGUUUCUUAGCAACAUGAAGGCAACCUUGUCCACUAAAGAGGAGGUGACCGCAGCUCCUGGGGAUGUGCCAACACUGGGAUGUGACCCCAAGACAAAGGGCUUCUUUUCCCUUCUGCCUGGUGGUAAAGGGCCUGCCGCCCGCCAGGCAUGCCCCAGCCUGUGGUUCUGGAAUGCGGGCGAGCCGCCAUCCCCAGAGACCUGUGUCGGUGGCCAGGCCCAGCCCACACACCGAUUGGUGCAUACGCUUGUGUUUGCCCGGGAACGGAGUCAGACCGUUUACUCUGCCUUCGUGGGAGUUGGACAGUUGAACUGAUGCCGUUAAACACAGUGUUUCCCUCUGGGAAGAUGCCCGGGUUGUAGGUGCUGGAAGGCUAGCUCCAGCUCCAGGCACCUGCCACAUAAAGAGUCGUCUGCAAAGCAAGUGAUAUUGCAUUUCCAUUGACAUUGGUGCCACAGAAUUUCCCUUUAAAAUAAACAUUAUGUAUUUAUUUAUUUAAUUU